CCUCUAGACAACGAAGAGUUGGUUUCAUAAAUCCUAACAGGCCUCGAUUAUGACUACACUCCUCUCGUGUUGGCUCUUGUGUCACGAGUGGAACCAAUCUCAGUAAGCGAGCUAUAUGCUCAGCUGCUGAGUUUUGAGA